AGUGAACGCUGGCGGUAUGCCUAACACAUGCAAGUCGAACGGCAGCACAGUAAGAGUUUGCUCUUACGGUUGGCGAGUGGCGGACGGGUGAGGCAUACAUCGGAAUCUACUUUUUCUUGGGGGAUUACGUAGGGAAACUUACGCUAAUACCGCAUACGACCUACGGGUUAAAGCAGUGGUUCUUCGCACCUUGCGUGAUUGAAUGAGCUGAUGUCGGAUUAGCUAGUUGGCAGGGUAAAGGCACACCAAGGCGACGAUCCGUAGCUGAUCUGAGAGGAUGAUCAGCCACACUGGAACUGAGACACGGUCCAGACUCCUACGGGAGGCAGCAGUAGGGAAUCUUCGACAAUGGGCGCAAGCCUGAUCCAGCAAUGCCGCGUGGGUGAAGAAGGUCUUCGGAUUGUAAAGCCCUUUUGUUGGGGAAGAAAAGCUGCAGAUUAAUCCAUGGCUGUUCUGACGGUACCCAAAGAGAAAGCACCGGCUAACUUCGUG
rnacentral:rRNA from 1 species